UUUGUUUUUUUGUUUUUUGUUGUUUGUCUUACAUUGGCAAUAAUCUCUUUUUUUUAAAUUAUGCUAAAGAUUGACUACUGGUGGUACUUGCGACAUCUGUGGGAACCAUGGGGGUUGGUUUUUUUUUCUUUCAAGCCACUGGAUUGUCUGUGGGAAUGUCAGUAUACCAUAUAGAGAACUGCCUUGAGACUGGGCAAUCUCAGAAAGAACUACUCUGGGGAAGGAUGUUUGCCAGAUCUUCCUAUUCAGGGAGAAGAUCACUGUUCCUGUUUUUCUGGUUUUCCAGCAGUCUGUAUCUGUUGUUAACUAUCAAGCCCUCACCCCAUUCCUUGAAGUGGGUCUCUAAAAUUCAGCUAAUAAGUCUACCUAUUGCCUUACAUGUAGCUUUGAGGCAGAAAAUACCCACUGCACUAUAGCAGGCUAACAUUAAAUGGCUAUUUCUUAUGAGAAGUUUUGUAGACACUGCAAUUACAGCACCUGAUAUUUGUUAUGUCUGGUCUAAUUCUGAAGACCUUACAAGUUGCUAAUAUUUAAAACCAUAUUUACUGAAUUUUAUUAAUCUGAAGUGGCUCAUUUCCACAAUAAAUUGGGGAGGUAAGUAACCCCUGAAAGCCUAAAACUUGUUUUUUCAUUUUUAAAUCUUACAGUUAAUAUUUAAAGGGAGGGGGAAAAAAAAAUACAAAUACAGACCAUCUGUGAAACGUGGAAAAAUUAAAAGCUGCAACAAUUAGGUUCUCUGGGCAGUGGGCCAUAACACAACUAAGCAUUCAGCCAGCAUGAUAUAAUUAUAAAUUAAACAUCUCUAAAUAAAACAAAUUCUGAGUUGAAAGCAAAAUAGAAAUCCACUUAUUUAUUUGUGGCAGAGGGACACAUUAACUUCAAUUUUAGAAAUCGGCAGCCAUUCCCCUAUGUACUCAAAGGUCUGUGGUGUCUGCAUGUUCGUGGAAGGUGCAUUUCCUCAGGCUUUGGUGCCUUAUUGGCUCCAUAUUUCAGUCAAAGGAGACUUCUGCAGAAUUCAGGGAAAUUUACUGCAGCUCUGGAGUUCUCAGUCUUUUUAGAGACGCUGCACAGUGAUACGUCAUUAUAUUCUACAAUUAUGACAUAUAGAAAUGUGCCUUCUGUUCUUGAAAAUGGUAUACACUGUCCUUCAUAACAAUUUUUAUGAUCAUUUACUGCUGUAUUUCCAGGAGGAGCAAGAGUAACAGAUGGAAACUUUAGUUACUGAAAAAGAAAAGCUGUGAAAAGAUCUCAAAUCUUGUAAAUAAAUGAAAUGGAUGCUGACAUCAUGUUUAAGAUAAUUGCAGAGCAUUUUCUUUCAUGGAAACCUGGUAUAUAUUUUGUUUUCUACACACACCUUUAGAUUUUUGAGGGAAAUGUUACCCAUUGUUUUUCAGGUUAGAUCCACAUGUUAAGUAGAUCCUUCUUCAUCAAAGCCAUAGAUAUUCAUUAUAAUUGCAGAUGACUAUGAUAAUACUAUAUAAUACUAUAUAAACAUUCUUCCUGUAGGUCAGAUUCUUUAUGAACAUCCAAACAUUACAAAAUUAUUGGAACUUUCAAAAGGAUUUUUUAAAUAUCUUGUCCAUAAUCUUAAACAUUUAGUAACUUACUAUGAACUUUUGAGUAAGGAAAACUGAAUUAAGAGGCUCAAAUAGGAGUGUAAGCCGAUGGCUUUUAAAGGAAGACUAAUCAACUAAAUUUUCUAUGGAUGUUCUAAAUCACUAAGGGUGUAUGUGGCAAACAAUUUCUGUAGAAGCAAAUGUAAUUUGAGUUUUUUGUGCUUGCUACAUAUGAUAUCAACAUAGAAGUAACAUAAAACAUAGAAGUGUUUUAUUUUGAAACUUCAGUCUUAAUAUUUUCUUAUUUUGAUACCAUAAAAAUAUGAUUUAAUUUCAGAGUUCUGAUAUCUGAUGUGUCUAAUAAGCUUUGUUUGGAUCAUAACAUAUUUUGUUUCCAGUUGUAAGCCAGUUAACUGACAUUUUUUCUGUUUUCUUCCACUUAUCUUAUUUAAACAAAGCUGCAGCAUUCAUAACAGCUUGCAGCUGCUCAUUUUCCUGGAAAGAGUAGGGGAGUGGAGCUCUGAAAUAAGUGUUUAAGUAUAUAUAAUACAUACAUAUAUAUAUAAUAUGAGGGCAUUGUAUUGUAGUCACAAAGGUUCUGUUUCUUGACUAAACAGGUAAGGUUCUUAGUCCUGUUUCAAGGUGAUGUAAGUGUACUGCCAACGUAUUUCUUUACUAAAAGGCUCUCUGGGGAAGAAAUUAGUAUUAUUUAUGUCCAGCCUGUUCAUCUUCACGCUCUCAGCUCUUCCUUUAUUUCCUAGGUAUGUUAAAGCAGUCAGUCAUAGUACUGCUAUCUUUCAGCCUGUACUUUCUAGCCCCUUGCCAUCUGUAAAAUGAUUCUCAGGAUUUUUCUGGAGUUGAUUCUUCUGUGUGCGUUGUGGAAUAAUGUCAGCAGCAGCAGCACAGAGCAUUUGUGCUUUGUCAAAUUAAAAUGACAGCUGCUGUUAAUAACAAUUAAAGCACGUUAACACUAAUUGCAUUGCUGAUUCUAAUGAAAUAAAGACCUCCUUAUUCACUGGUAGUGAAGUAAUCCUGAUGUAAUGUGUAGACUAUCAAGCAGCCAACAGUAGCUGUGACUGGAGAAGGACAGUGAGUUCAACUGACUUCCCCUACUUUCAAUUCCCCAGAGACACUAUAUUGAGAUUUUUCACCCUGAAGUGGAUACAAAAUGCUGAGUAAAAGGAUAUGACGUAAAUUGGCUGGCGUUUGCAGUGAACUAACUAAUUGUUGUUGCCUUUUAAUUUUGUUUUGUGGAUGGAUGGGUUGUGUCUCAUCUAAAAAAAUGAUGUCUGUCUGCCCGAGGGAGAAAAUUGGGUGUACCAAAAGGCUUUUGCUUGGUUUUAUGCUUUCCGUGGGCUGUAGCCAUAGUCCCUGGAAUAAAAAAUGUCUUCUUUCCCUAACCCUUGGGAACUGAUAAUUAGCAAGGUAACAAUGCACCGAAGGGAGAUAGAAGGAAAGGUGUUAUGGCUGCAUCUUUACUCUAACCCAUAGCAUGUUACUACUCCCAUGCAAAAGGCAGCUGUAUCUGCAGAAGGGCCAGCACACCAGAUUGGUGUCUAAAAAGAAUGGCCAUUCUUUUUCUCUUCUCAUUAAUUAGGUAUCUUAAAUAAAUAAAUAAAUAAAUAAAAAUAAAAAAUUGAGGUUAUCACGGGUUUGAAUCAUUGACUUUUUGUGGGCAGUGGACAUGCAGUGAUUUCUACUGAACAGAUAGAUUUGAAAACCACAAAAUGUGUUCUAAUGAGUGAAAAGCAUGCCUUGUGCAUAUCAAUAUGAACAGAAUUUAUUUGCUGUUGUAACUCUCCUCUGACUUGUGCUUAUUCUUUAUGCUGCUUUAUUUUAUUGCACAUUCUUAAAGAUUUUUUUCAACAACUGAAGUUUCCUAGUGAAGAUCUGAUGGAGAUUUCUUCUUUAGAAGGCAGUUAGGAGCUGAUGUCUGUGCCUUGCCUUUAAUUUAUGAUGUAUUGGAGAUAAUGCUUUUAAAAGUGGGGAAAUUCUUGACAGGACAGUCAAGAUAGCUUGAUCUUCUGCAGACUUGAAGUCAACAAAGUCAACUACAGUGGAGCAGGGAUUACAGCUAAAUUGCUCCCAGUACUAUUGCUUUUCAUAUGCUUAAGCCAAUAGAUCAAAUUCAGACAUGAGGUAAGCAAAUGCAGUUUCUUUGUUUAUACUCGUUUGAAUUCUGACCAAUUCCAUAUGGUCAGCUAAGUUAAUUGCAUACAGUUUGUUCCAAUGUUUUCAUUUCAAUGCUUACAGCAUGAUUUGCCUUUCUUGUGUGUAACCAUACUGGAGAAGAGCCUUGUGUCUGAGUGGUAAUAUAAUUGUUUUUCUAAUUAUCUCACAUGGUACUAAUCCACACAUCAUAACAUACGUUAAAUGUAUAGAUUUAUUUUAAUAAACCUUACAUAAAGUUGACCUAAAAAGACUGAAAUACAAAUAGUUAGAGACUAUUUGUGCUGAUCUAUUUUGGUGGGUGAAUAUAAGAACAAAGGUAACCUGCUGUAUUAAUUUUAAUGAUCAAUACUACUAAUUUGUGUCACCACCUCAAAUGUGGCACCAUAAUACAGUUUUUGUACCUAAACCUCUACAAAGACGUGUUUUGGACAUGUUGGAGCAAUGGAGUACUUGCUCACACCUUUGUAAAAUUUCAGAGGCCCCCUUUUUUUUUUUUUCUUCUUAUGAAAAAUUACAUCCAUCUGUUAAGUACAAUUGCUUAAAAAUAAUUGGAUAAAGCUACUAAUUAUGCUGACUAUAAUUCUUUUAUGGAAAUAAUUUCAUCAGCAUUUCUUUCAUAUAAUUAUUCAAUUCCCUUUGCUGUCCUAGAACCAAGGUGUUACACAUAUGUGAUAGGGUCAGAACAUCUAGUAAGAACUGACAGAAAUGUCAUAAAACCAAUUGCUUCCAUGAUGAAUUGAUAGAGUUCAGUAGAUCUUUAAAGGACUUAGAUUGAGGUGCAUCUCUGCACUGCAAUUUUAAAUGCUUAAUUUGGGGACCAUGGGAGUUGUCUGGGAAUGGAAUGUUUCAGAAUACAAGCAAAAUGGAAAGUAACUUUGGAAUUAAGUAAUGCUUAGUGAUGAACAUAAAAGUUUAAGGAAGAAUAACAGAAAAGACUUUACUUAAAGUGUAUUGUCAUCAAGCUAACCACUCCAGUGAAGUGAAUUUAGUUAUAGUAGUCUUGCAAGACUGAAAAAAGGCUUUAAAUAGUACUCCUGAAUAGAUCCAAUUGACCCACUGGAACAUUUACUAAUUGUGUAUGUCUGUCAUGUAACACAUGGCGGUACGGUCUUAAACAUGAAAUCAAAUUAGUUCAAAAUACUAGUUGAUCUAUUUGUUUAAUGUGAUCACAGAUUUUAUUAGAUGACUAAUCUAAUUUUCUGAUGAAAUGAUAACUCUGACGUUAUAUUGAGCCUUUUAGUGGCUAUAGGCUCAUUGGCAGCAACUCGUUCCUUAUAUUUAAUCUUCCAUUUGUUCCCAUAUAUGUGUUUUUCCCCCUCUGCUAUCUCUAGCUCCUGCAAGUCUUUUUUUGUUUUUAUGUUUUAAUGUUACUUUUAACUAUUUCAUCUAUUUGCCAUCAUGGAGCUGGGAGACCUAUUCUAGAAACCAGACAAGGGCACCUGCUGUUAGAUGUAGCAAACUAAGACACAAGGAUGACUAUGGGAAAGGAAAAGAAAAAGAAGAAGGGAAACAAACAAACAAACAAACAAAAGGUUGUUUUCUGGCUUUAGUAACAAAAUGCUCCUGGGCUGUAUUCAGCAGGUUCAUCCUGUUUUUUUUUACUGAGUAGCUAAUACUGUAGAAACCUGACUCCUGUCUUUCUGGUGACUCUUGGGAUAAGAUGACAAACUGCAUUCCUCUUCUCUCACAAGUGAAGAAUCUUUUGUUUCUUAAAGAUCACGGUUCUCUGCUUCUCUGUUGUGUUCUCCGUUUUGCAGCCUCAAUUGGAAAAAGUAUUUAUAUUCUCUGUGUCCCUGGUGAGUUUAUCAGGACUGUGGAGAUGGUCCUUGUACCUUCUUUGACUCUGGGACUGUUCCUCUACAGAACUCCUCUCAGAAGAAAGCUUCAAGAUGUUUUCAAGCACUGAUCAUCCCAGAGCAAAUUUUCUUACGUCAGCAGAACUGAGAAAGGAUGUUGGCCCUGAGAUUUUUAAAUGCUACUUAAUGCCGGCAUAGUUUGGCUAACAAACUGUGGUCUGUGAAACUGACCGCCACCACCCUCAAAUUUAUUUUCUGGACAAACAAGAAGUUUUUCAUCACUGUGUUUUGAAGAGUUGACCCCCAACAACUGACACCCACAAGGCACGCUUUGGCAGGCUGAAGCUCCUCCAGGGAUCCAUUUAAUCUGCACAGCUGAAUAUGGAUAUGAGAGAUUACAUCUUCCUUUCUGCAGGCCCACACAGAUGGUGUGAGUGACUAACAGAUGCCUUGAUUUUUGCACAGCCUACACACUGAUGUCAUAAGAAGAGACUAAUACCUCGGAGGUGAGUGUCCUGUUUGUUUGUAUUUCAACAUCAACAGUAUGAAAUGCAACAGUGGAUAAGAAAUUAGUAAAAGAAAAGCCAAAUUUCAUAUUAGGAGAAACUGACAUAAAAGAUGUGUAACACAGUUAAGGGAAUCAUCAACACUGGCUGCAGUUGCUGAGAAUUCUAUGCAGUAGUAUCUCCUUAAAGAAGGAAGGGUUUUGAAGUAAGAGAUGUGAUUAAAAAUGAUUUUGGUUUUCCUGCCUUUUUGUCAGACUGGAGUUCAUGCAUAUUUGAAACUGAAUAGUUGAAGCUUCCUCUUGUUUUACAAAACCUUUAAAGAAGCCUUGUGACUGACUUUUUUUUUUUUUUUUUUUUUUUUAAUAUGUAAUUCUUAAACUGGUCCAGAUGCUUCAGAAUGACUUCCGUUAGAACUUCUGUUAUUGAAGGGCUGGAAAAUAGCUGAAAGGAAAGUGGCCAAGCUAGCUUUUCUUUUUCUCUGAACCCUAGUUUUGCAUUCUGAGGACAGUGGGACCCAAAGCGACAUGGCGGUCUGGAGUGGUGUUUGGUCCCCAGGGCUGGUUUGGGCUGAGAGAGAAGUGCAGAAGAGUGGCCUGAGGAGCAGGGCUCCCACCAGAGCUGGCUGUGAACUGUCCAGUGCUACCUUCUCAGUUAGAUCAGUGAUGUUAGCCUUAUUUUAUAGCUGGUUGUAAACAGUAAGUGCACUACGUAGACAGGUGAUAGUGAUGCCCAAUCAGAUGGGACUGGGUGAGAGUGAAAUACAGGGAGGUGGGAAUACUGGGAGGAGGAAAAUUGUUAAGGUAAAGAAGGGGUAAAGUUUAUGGAAAUACUAGGCUAUAGAGUUACAAGAAUUGGCUGGAGAAUGAGAACAUAGGCUUUGAACUUCAAGAGCAGAAGCAGGAAUUAAGAAGAUAUGGGGAAAGAAAACCUAGCUAUGGAGCAGAUGGCUAGGAGCCAUAGUGAAAUGCAGAGGAAAAGUAGUCCAGAAGACAGAUCUUGGCAUGAGCUGCUGAGGAAAGAUUUAGAAACAGGCUAGAAACCUGUGACUGAAAGCAGAGGAUGGGAAAGGAACAGGGUGGGGACAAAGGAUGAGGAGAUGAGACAGGCUGGAGGUGGAGGGUGGAUCAGAGAAAAGAAAGGAAGACAAGUCUGUGCCUAUUUCAGUGUCCUCCUAGUUUUUAUUCCUGGGUCUCCAGAGGAUUACAGAGCCUUUCCACUUGGCUUCUGUUGUAAGACAGUGAAAUACACUACUGGCAUGCAUAUGUUGACCCCAAUUACUGUUGCUCAGUAGAGUGGGAGACAACCCUUUACUUUUAAUGUCAUAUAACUGUGGCCUGUGGCAAAGCUAGUGGGCCCAGCUUCCUCUGCAUUAUCAGCUGAUAACUAACUUUGGGUGUCAAUAGAGAUUUUGUGAGUUGUUGGUUAAGGCAGAUUAACAACAGACCAGGCAUCACAUAAAAGAUUCAGAAUGGUAAUGUCACCUGUAACUCCUACUUUUCAUCUCACUGUCUCUGUUGCUUGAAGUUUGCACCUUCAACAUUAUUUUUAAGGCAAAGUUAGCUUUUCUGGCAUAGAUUUGUAGCAUUACAGGGAUCUGAAGAGUUUUCCCAAAUGCCAUCUUAACUAUGAAAUGACUGGAAUGACACAGUUGGCAUUUGAACAGGACAAGGUUGGUAGCUAGCCAGCCACAGUAAAGCUGGAGUAAAAUUCUUCAGCAUUCACUGGUGGUUUUUUGGCCAGGAAAUACAGCUUCUUCAGGGCAAAACAACAUAAAAAAUAGUAAAGUAUGAGCAGGUUCUUCUUCUGUCACUUUGCAGAUUAUCUGCUGUCUUGUGUGUAAACAGCAAUAUCUUUACAUGGAAGUUCUAUUAGAGGUAAAGAAGCACAAUCCAUUUUCACAUCAAUUUAAUGUCAGUGGGAUAAGAAGUAUGUGGCAACAUGGAGGCUCUUUUCACUAUUCACUUUGUUCUCAAAGAUGGCCACAUUUUUCACAAUGUUUCCAUUGAGUGUUGCAUUUGAUAAAAUUGGUGAGGGUAGGUAGUAGGGAGGCUAAUUCAGGCAUCAGGGAGAAAUGAACAUGAACUAAGUAUGAUUCUUAUGUAAUCCAUAUUGCCUCUGCAGUUUAAUCUCCCAGAUGGCUGGAAGUUAACUAUUGUGAGCCAGGUUUGAGGUAAUAGCCUAAACAUUAUUGGGAAAGUCAUUUAUUUUUGGCAGGAAACAAAUUCUGUUUUGGUCCGUGGACAGAAGAUUACAGUUUUUUAAACAGCCACAAAGAAAUGCUCUGAGCUUCUCUCCAAGAAACAAACAAGGUUUCACAAGAGCCAGUUGGCUUACAUUGCACUUACAGUACUUGUAACUUCAGAUAUUGUAAGAAGUGUAGGCUUGUAUGUGAUAAUGUUAAACUUACAGACAUGUAGGAAUGAUUGUAUAGCUGAUGAAAGGGAGAGCUCCAAAAAGCUUCUCACUUAAGAUAGCCAUUGUGUGGAUAGGUGAAUUGGGGUGUGGUGGAAUAGUAAUAAUUACAUCCAUCUCAGCAUUAAAUGGUUUCUCAAACUUGUUUGGGAUAUUUCUCCCUUGCUAGAACUAAAAGCUAAUACAGCACAAGACUACCUGAUAUCUUUGCACUUAUAAUGUUCCAGGGCCUGUCUGUCUUUCCCCAAAUACUAGUGUGCUAGUAUCCUGAACUAUAUUUGCAAUAGAUUUAACAUGUUGACUUACUACUGGAAUUCUGUUUGUGUUCUGCAUGUGAUGCUUGGUCUGUGACCUGCUGCUGUGUGGUGUUGUACUCUGGGGAGCCCUACAGAGGAGCCUAGGUUUGGGGAUCCAUGGAAACAGCCCUGAAACAAAGAGAAAACAAACUGGAGAGUUGUGACAUGCCUUCUGGAGUACUAUCAGCAAGUACAGAUUGUCAGCAAGAGAGAGAUUUGGGAUUAUGUUUUCUUUGUUCUAGAUGUUUUCAACCUGCCAGCUAAUGUGUUCUACAGAGGUAAUGUGAAACAAGAUUUCAGUUGAUCAAGUGGUAGAAAAUAAAUUCAUGAUAUAGUAAAAUAACAUUGUUUAUUUUGUAACAUCUCACUGAUCUCAUCUCUCCUCACUCUUAAAUGCAAAAUGACAAAAGCUGCAUAAUGCGGUAACUCCUGUUCCUUGGGAAUAAUCUUUUUUUUUUUUUUUUUUUUUUUUUUUUUUUUUUUUUUUUUUCUGUAUUCCUUCUGAAGUUAGUUUGACCUUCUACUACAACAUGUUAGUGAAUAGGAAAAAUAUGUGCCCUACCUACACCUAUAUUUUUAUAUAUGCAGUCCUUUGAAUGAUUUGACUUGCUGCAGAAUUAGCCCAUAUGGAAGUUUUGAAUCUUAGGAACCUUAUAAGACGAGAAAAAGUUGCAAGAGGAAAAAGAUUCAGCCAUAGUUCUUCCACUAUUUCCUGAUUGCUUGCUAGACUGUGUAAUGUUCUGAGGUAGACAUGUUUUCCCAGAGUAGUCUUCAGUUGUUGUGGAAGUCUUUAUACUGAAAAUAUUUAGAACUGUUGCCAAGUAGAAUUGUUGCAACUUAUAUCUAAGUAGCCUUGUUUGAGCAGAGUUGUUGGAUAUAAUGAAACUAACAUGUCUGAGUAAUAAGCAGAGACAGUUGCUUUGGGACCAGUGGCAGGACUACCAAUUUCACAUUAAACUGCCUUGACUUAGAGCUGGUCAGAGUCACCACUACAGUGCAGAUAGGAAGUGCAGCUGGACCAGAAACUUCCAGCUCCUGCCUUUCCAGUGGCAUGAGAUCAGGCAUUCAUUGCUGCUAAAUGAUGAUAUACAAUUAUAAUGUAGUGCUGUGAGAAAGAAGUGGAUUUAGGAUUGCUCCUACUAAGGAUUUUCUUACCUUAACAAAUGUGGGUUUCCUUGAAAUCCAGUGUGAACUCAUAUUCUUUGAGUUAACCAAGUUUAAUUUCAGAAUGUUUUUUAAUUUUUUUUCUUUUCCUAGCAUAUUCUCAAUCUUGACUUUAAAUUGAUUUUGCUUACUUUUUUUCUGGAGUAAUUUUGCUGACUUAUUGUAUUACUAUAUGUGAUGUAGGUACAGAGAUCCUAGAUGCGUAUACACCAGAGGGAGAAUGGUAACUGCUGAUUCUGAACUUUAACCUCUGUAAUGUUUCUUUUUAGAACAUUAUUUCUUGUUUUAGGUCACUACUUUACUCUUACAUCUGCAACAGCUAUCGCUGCUUCUAGACAGUCUAGUUCUUUUUCCAAGUGCAAUCAUUUUGGACCAGAACAAACUUGAUUUACUUCCAAUUUAAGCCUCAUCGGUUUGUUAGUCCUCUUAUCUUCAGCCAUCUUGGCCUGCUAUAUUUCCAACAUCAGCCAUUUGUAAAGACAACCCAAAACAAAGCUUUGGCCAUAUGUGGUUGUAUUUGAACUAAGCAUAUAUUUGGAAAAUUUUGUUUUAGAAAGGCAUAGCAAGUGUUCACUAGUGCUUUACAGGACUGAAGUAUUCUUCUGAAAUGGAAUGGAGACUGUAAGAGGUUUAUAACAGGGAGGAGAUAAUUCAUUUGUACCAGGGGAAAAAAAAAAAAAGAUGAAGGAGGAAAAAAUAAGCCUCUGUUUAAAAACAGAUAUAACAGAUAGUGUUAUAAAGUCAUCAGAAAUGUAAAUGAAAAGCUGAGCUUAUGUUGCAUGGAAAAAAUAUAUCUGCAAGAGGACUUUCUCAGGCAAUUAAUAAUAUGAAUUAAUACUUAAAAUACAGAAACUUUUUGAAAUAAACUGCACUUAAAAUAGUAGGAGAGCAAAAAAUGAGGCUGCAUUUUAUUGUAAUGAACACUUAGAAGACAAAUUCAGACUGUUAGAGGGAAAUCUGUGGCUGUAUGUUUCCGUCAUACAAAGCAGAUGAAGCAUCUGAAUAAGCUGCUGAGAAUGUGAAUUUUGACUCACAGUAGAAAUAUCAGCUGUGGAUGCAGAAGGAAUUGAGCGUUCUGGGGGAUAAAUUCCUACUGAAUUCUUAAACUCAUGCUCAGACAUUGAAGGAAAGAAAUGUAUUUAAAGUUAAGCAGUAAUAUAUCUCUAAUACUUGGAGGCAUUUCCUGCUGCUGUGCUGAUGCAAGCCAUGCGCUGGUAUGUCUUAAUGGUGGGAAGGUGGUUGAGCUGAGGUGUCCACGUGACCCGUUAAUUUCCAUUAGCUUUAAUUUUCUUUACAAAAGUGAGGGCUUUUUUUGUUUCGUUUAAUUUUAUGGUCAGUCAGAUCUUUCUCAGGUUAAUUUAGCACACUUCUCAAAGAUCAUCUGCAGCCUUUUAAUAUGUGUGACCAACACACUGUGCACACACGGUCCCAGCACAAUGAAGGACAUAGAAAGGGGACUGAACUUUUUGGGGGUUGUGGUAUGGCAGGAUUUCCAGUAUCUGCUGGAAAGUCUGGCAAAGGCAUAGACCUGGCACUUUGGAUUCAAAAUUAAAAAAUAAAGGAGUAACACUGAUGGAGUUUGUUACCUUUAAUCUGUAAAAUCUCAAAGAUUAGUCUUGCAUUUCUCAAGGUUUUUUUGUUUUGUUUCUCAGUAACCAGGCUAAAUAUAUCAUUUAAUUUGUUUUUUUGUUGUUGUUUGGUUGGUUGUUGUUGGUUUUUUUCUUUGUUUGUUUUCAGGUGUUCUGAGGACGAUGCAGUUGAGAGUCUCCAGAAAAUUCAAGCAUUAUAUUACUGAAUAAAAGCCAUGUUUGGAUGUGCAUUAAGAGCACCUCACGUUCAGCAUGAGAGCAGUGCUAGACAAAGCCGGUUUUUCUCUCUAAGAGAUGCAUCUGGAAUAUAUCAGGGCUCUCUCUUGUAAAACAUGCAUCCAGGCUUCCAGCCAGCUGAGAGGUGCUGCUGUGGGUGCUCCCAGCAUGAGCUCACCUCCUGCCUAGCCUGUGCCAUCCCUCAGCCCCAAUGGUAGAGUGCUGUGGGAGUGCGUAUGGCCUGAUGAGAGAGUAUCAGCC